CGGCGUCGAGCGGCGGACGGGUGAGUAAUGCCUAGGAAAUUGCCCUGAUGUGGGGGAUAACCAUUGGAAACGAUGGCUAAUACCGCAUGAUGCCUACGGGCCAAAGAGGGGGACCUUCGGGCCUCUCGCGUCAGGAUAUGCCUAGGUGGGAUUAGCUAGUUGGUGAGGUAAGGGCUCACCAAGGCGACGAUCCCUAGCUGGUCUGAG
rnacentral:rRNA from 1 species